GCGUCGCUUCUCGACGACACCACCUUUCCUUCCUGUCGAAUCCAAACUUUCCUUUUUCAACCCUCGCCGCCGGAGAUGAGUGGUUUGUUGUGUGCUUCGUCUCCAGUGAUCUAUUGCUCCAUAUCCUCUUGGUUCGUCGCCGUUCUUGUUCGUUGUCGUAUGCAAGUUGGUGUUCUUGAGUUGUUGGUUGGGGUUUCGAAGACAAGGUCGAACUGAUCUGUUUCGCCGGUUGUUUGGGGUCGAGGUCGUAGCUGGUGCCACGCUGUUCUUCAUGUCAUUUUUCGGGAAGAUGAAGUUGGUGGUGGUUUGAUCCGGAUGGUUUUAUGAUAAUCUUAAAUCUUGAUUAUCUUGAUUUAGGAUCUGGUUACAAAAAGUUCUAUUUAUCUGUGUGGAUUUGAUUCGACGGGUAUUGCUCGAAAGAGUUAGGUGCGUCGUCGCUCCGUGUUGACGGUAGUAGUCGUUAACCGUACCUAUAGAACCGUUUCAUCCGUCAUCAGUUGUGCUGUUGGUGGACAGUGUCCGUUGCUUGCUCAUUGAUCUGAACUUCGAUUGGAUUGAUUUGGCCCGAAAGGGCGCUUUGGCUUGCUGAAGUUUUUUAGGGAGCUGUUGGACCUUGGGUCGUUUAUGUGUUGGCAGACGAUUCAUACGCCUACCUUGAUACUCUAAACAUUCAUGCUGCAUUUUUUUUCCAGUUUGGUUUCGUAUCCACAUGUGGGUUCGUUGGGCUGGCUGUAGUAGUGUUGUUUUAAGCUGUUUUUAUUUACCACACUUGUACUGAUUUGUUGUAUCAUCUGUUAGGGUUUGAGUCUGUGGUUAUUGGGUCAGGUUCAUGCCCCCCAACUUGUACUUCCUUUUUAUUUUUAAUUCAAUUUCUACUUUGACUAAAAAAAGAUACGAAGGGGGUAAAGAUUUUGGACUGAAUUUUUAUAAUUUCAAUUACACGCCCUUAAACAAUUUUUUCUA